GGGUUAGGUUAUGUUAUUAAGGUAGGCUGUCGUGUUUUGUGGACCACGGUGGUAAUUGGGGCAGAACUUUUUGGCUUAGUUAAAAUGCAGGAGUUUCAAGAGCUUUAUAGUGGUAGGUUAAGUUCAGCUGUGAAAACCUCUAGGUUUGAAAAUCUGAGGAAACUUAGGUGUUCGUGAGGUCACGAGGCGGCCACGUGCAGCCCUGGCUACCGAGUCUGAAAGGCCGAGCGCGCUCGGGUCUUGGGUGCUCGGGCAGAGGUACGAAGCACGUGGCGCCUUCGGCAAAGGUCGUGAAUUCCGCUGUCGGUGUCAAGUGGCCAUCUUGAAACUGCCUCGCCGCUGUUAAGUUUUAAGACCGCAUCCCGGUACUCCCCCAUUUAGAUCUAGGAAGCAGAAGUAAUUGUUCCGAUGGAUAAUAGAAAACAUGACCUGAUAAUCGAGAACUUCAGUGUGGUAUGAGUGAAGUCCUGUUUGUUUAGAAGCCUGUGACGCACUGCCA